rnacentral:rRNA from 1 species
GUCUACAGCGAUGCCAUCCUGAACAAGCCCAAUCCUGUCUGAUCUCAGAACCUAAGCAUAGUUGGGCCUGGUUAGUGCUAGGAUGAGAGAUGACCUAGGAAGACCAGGUCUGUAAGCA